rnacentral:rRNA from 1 species
ACGCNGUAAACGCUGAGUGCUAGGUGUUAGGUCCUUUCCGGGACUUAGUGCCGACGCUAACGCAUUAAGCACUCCGCCUGGGGAGUACGACCGCAAGGUUGAAACUCAAAGGAAUUGACGGGGGCCCGCACAAGCGGUGGAGCAUGUGGUUUAAUUCGAAGCAACGCGAAGAACCUUACCAGGUCUUGACAUCCCGAUGCCCGCUCUAGAGAUAGAGUUUUACUUUUUGUACAUCGGAGACAGGUGGUGCAUGGUUGUCGUCAGCUCGUGUCGUGAGAUGUUGGGUUAANNNNNNNNACGAGCGCAACCCUUAUUGUUAGUUGCCAUCAUUAAGUUGGGCACUCUAGCGAGACUGCCGGUAAUAAACCGGAGGAAGGUGGGGAUGAUGUCAAAUCAUCAUGCCCCUUAUGACCUGGGCUACACACGUGCUACAAUGGUUGGUACAACGAGUCGCAAGCCGGUGACGGCAAGCUAAUCUCUGAAAGCCAAUCUCAGUUCGGAUUGUAGGCUGCAACUCGCCUACAUGAAGUCGGAAUCGCUAGUAAUCGCGGAUCAGCACGCCGCGGUGAAUACGUUCCCGGGCCUUGUNC